rnacentral:rRNA from 1 species
AACGAACGCUGGCGGCGUGCUUAAUACAUGCAAGUCGAACGAGAAAAUCCGACUUCGGUUGGGUGAGUAAAGUGGCGAACGGGUGAGUAACACGUGGAUAAUCUGCCCUCAAAUCCGGGAUAAUCCUUCGAAAGGAGGUCUAAUACCGGAAAUACCUUCGGGGGACAUCCCCUGAAGGUCAAAGGCGGGGUAACCUGUUGUUUGAGGAUGAGUCCGCGCUCCAUUAGCUUGUUGGUGAGGUAACGGCUCACCAAGGCUGUGAUGGAUAGCCGACCUGAGAGGGUGACCGGCCACACUGGGACUGAGAUACGGCCCAGACUCCUACGGGAGGCAGCAGUAGGGAAUAUUGCGCAAUGGACGAAAGUCUGACGCAGCAACGCCGCGUGGGUGAUGAAGCUCCUUGGAGUGUAAAACCCUGUCAGUGGGGAAGAAACGUACGGGUAGUAACUGAUCCGUACCUGACGGUACCCGCAGAGGAAGUCCCGGCUAACUCCGUGCCAGCAGCCGCGGUAAUACGGGGGGGACUAGCGUUGUUCGGAUUUACUGGGCGUAAAGGGCGCGUAGGCGGACUUUCAAGUCGGAUGUGAAAACUGGCGGCUCAACUGCCAGCCUGCAUUCGAUACUGUUAGUCUUGAGUACAGGAGGGGAGAGUGGAAUUCCAGGUGUAGCGGUGGAAUGCGUAGAUAUCUGGAAGAACACCCGUAGCGAAGGCGACUCUCUGGACUGAUACUGACGCUAAAGCGCGAAGGCUAGGGGAGCAAACAGGAUUAGAUACCCUGGUAGUCCUAGCGGUAAACGAUGGGCACUAGGUGUCGGGGGUAUCGACCCCCUCGGUGCCGCAGUUAACGCAGUAAGUGCCCCGCCUGGGGAGACGAUCGCAAGGUU